UACGGAGGAUCCAAGCGUUAUCCGGAAUCAUUGGGUUUAAAGGGUCCGUAGGCGGGUUAAUAAGUCAGUGGUGAAAGUCUGCAGCUCAACUGUAGAACUGCCAUUGAAACUGUUGUCCUUGAGUCAUUAUGAAGUGGUUAGAAUAUGUAGUGUAGCGGUGAAAUGCAUAGAUAUUACAUAGAAUACCGAUUGCGAAGGCAGAUCACUAAUAAUGUACUGACGCUGAGGAACGAAAGCUCGGGUCACGAACCGG
rnacentral:misc_RNA from 1 species